GAUGAACGCUGGCGGCGUGCCUAAUACAUGCAAGUCGAGCGAACAGAUGAGGAGCUUGCUCCUCUGACGUUAGCGGCGGACGGGUGAGUAACACGUGGAUAACCUACCUAUAAGACUGGGAUAACUUCGGGAAACCGGAGCUAAUACCGGAUAAUAUAUUGAACCGCAUGGUUCAAUAGUGAAAGACGGUUUUGCUGUCACUUGUAGAUGGAUCCGCGCCGCAUUAGCUAGUUGGUAAGGUAAAGGCUUACCAAGGCAACGAUGCGUAGCCGACCUGAGAGGGUGAUCGGCCACACUGGAACUGAGACACGGUCCAGACUCCUACGGGAGGCAGCAGUAGGGAAUCUUCCGCAAUAGGCGAAAGCCUGACGGAGCAACGCCGCGUGAGUGAUGAAGGUCUUCGGAUCGUAAAACUCUGUUAUUAGGGAAGAACAAAUGUGUAAGUAACUAUGCACGUCUUGACGGUACCUAAUCAGAAAGCCACGGCUAACUACGUG
rnacentral:rRNA from 1 species